rnacentral:rRNA from 1 species
UACGUAGGGAGCAAGCGUUGUUCGGAUUUACUGGGCGUAAAGGGCGCGUAGGCGGCGCGGUAAGUCACUUGUGAAAUCUCUGAGCUUAACUCAGAACGGCCAAGUGAUACUGCAGUGCUAGAGUGCAGAAGGGGCAAUCGGAAUUCUUGGUGUAGCGGUGAAAUGCGCAGAUAUUGGGAGGAACACCAGUGGCGAAGGCGGCACUCUGGGCCAGUACUGACACUGAGGAGCGAAAGCGUGGGUAGCGAACAGG